UGCGUAGGCGGGUCUUUAAGUCAGGGGUGAAAUCCUGGAGCUCAACUCCAGAACUGCCUUUGAUACUGAAGAUCUUGAGUUCGGGAGAGGUGAGUGGAACUGCGAGUGUAGAGGUGAAAUUCGUAGAUAUUCGCAGGAACACCAGUGGCGAAGGCGGCUCACUGGCCCGAUACUGACGCUGAGGCACGAAAGCGUGGGGAGCAAACA
rnacentral:rRNA from 1 species